AGAAAGGACACUGUCUACUCCGCCCAUGAGAACCAAACAUGCUCGCUCUCCCAGCUUCACAAAGAGAAAACGAGUCCAAGAGGAAAUCACUUCACAACAAUCCCCACCCCCCCGGAUUCUGCUGGCAUUACUGGAUUCCCCUUUGAUGGUGAAAGAAUCAGAUCAAUGAAGGCAUCAGAGGAUUCAUCUGACAGGAUCUUUUCUUCAUCAUUAUCAAUUGUCAGAGCUUUUGAAAAACAGGAUGGAUUGAUGUCCCCCUCUUUUUUCUCUUCUGGUGUUCCUUUUGUUUUAUCUUCAUGUUUCUGGCAGUUUCAUUUUGAACAUCAGGAAUGACAUGCGGUGAGAACGUGUCCUUUCCUUCAAUUGCAAUCAUAGCUAUGAGAGCAUUUGGAAAAUUAUAAA